UAGGGAAUCUUCCGCAAUGGGCGAAAGCCUGACGGAGCAACGCCGCGUGAGUGAUGAAGGUCUUCGGAUCGUAAAACUGUGUUAUUAGGGAAGAACAAAUGUGUAAGUAACUAUGCACGUCUUGACGGUACCUAAUCAGAAAGCCACGGCUAACUACGUGCCAGCAGCCGCGGUAAUACGUAGGUGGCAAGCGUUAUCCGGAAUUAUUGGGCGUAAAGCGCGCGUAGGCGGUUUUUUAAGUGUGAUGUGAAAGCCCACGGCUCAACCGUGGAGGGUCAUUGGAAACUGGAAAACUUGAGUGCAGAAGAGGAAAGUGGAAUUCCAUGUGUAGCGGUGAAAUGCGCAGAGAUAUGGAAGAACACCAGUGGCGAAGGCGACUUUCUGGUCUGUAACUGACGCUGAUGUGCGAAAGCGUGGGGAUCAAACAGG
rnacentral:rRNA from 1 species